UACAGAGGGUGCAAGCGUUAAUCGGAAUUACUGGGCGUAAAGCGUGCGUAGGCGGUUACAUAAGUCGGGUGUGAAAGCCCCGGGCUCAACCUGGGAAGUGCAUUCGAGACUGCGUAGCUAGGGUGCGGAAGAGGGAAGCGGAAUUUCCGGUGUAGCGGUGAAAUGCGUAGAUAUCGGAAGGAACACCAGUGGCGAAAGCGGCUUCCUGGUCCAGCACUGACGUUCAGGCACGAAAGCGUGGGGAGCAAACAGG
rnacentral:rRNA from 1 species